rnacentral:lncRNA from 1 species
UAUCCCUGCUGUUAGAUCAAAGCACACAGACCUAGAAACACUAUGAAAUUAAAAGAUUAAUUUGCAAUAAGAAGAUGACAUUUAUAAAUUAGAUAAAAUCUGUAAUACAUUGCCAGAGUGGGAUGAUUUGCUUAGAUGGAAAAUACCAGAGACAUACAUAAGCCAGAAUCUCUAGCUUGGUAUACUAACCAGAAUCCCUGCUCUCCAGGGAUAUAGACGAGUUUGCAAAGCUUCCUCAGGUCAGAGGGCAGCUCCACCAAUGGCUGAAACUGGUCCUUUAUCAUAAAAAGCACGAGCUGGAAAGCAAUCAGGGCAUGAUGUUGCUAUUUUCACUGCUCUUACAAUUCCCAGCAGGAUCUUGAAAAACAUCAAGUGACUUCUCGUAUUCCCACUCCUCCCAUCUGCUAAGCUGAAACCAACACUAAUUAUCACAUACUGUAUUCACCUCUCACAAUUACAGGAGACUUGGAUUAUCUCAAAUUUGUAGAAAUAUAACUUGAGGAGUUAUUCUAUAAACAAU